rnacentral:rRNA from 1 species
UACGUAGGUGGCAAGCGUUGUCCGGAUUUACGGGGCGUAAAGGGCGCGUAGGCGGGCUGUCAAGUCUGGGGUGAAAUCCCGCGGCUCAACCGUGGAACUGCCUCAGAUACUGACGGUCUCGAGGGAGGUAGGGGCGAGCGGAACUGAUGGUGGAGCGGUGAAAUGCGUUGAUAUCAUCAGGAACUCCGGUGGCGAAGGCGGCUCGCUGGACCUCUUCUGACGCUGAGGCGCGAAAGCCAGGGGAGCAAACGGG